rnacentral:lncRNA from 1 species
GAAGAACGACGAUGCCCUGGGGGGGCGGGUAGGAUAUAUAGGUAGCUGGUGGCCAUGUUUAAAGCCUUCUGUCCUGCGUUUUAGGGACACGAUCGAUUCACGGCAUAUGUAUAGAUUUUUCAUCGGCCUCUCUCGGAUCAAAUUUUGUAUUUCUUCGCUCAUUCCCAAAGUUUCGGGAGCUGAGUCCAUCAAGCAAUUU